UUCAUGACAACGCAUCACAUAGGUAUUACUAGCCCUUUAUAGAUGCAAACAUGGAGAAUGAGAUGAUAAUAAAUGCGACCAUUAUCAGAGACCUGGCUUGACCUCCCCAGUCUAACCAACUCUGGACAGUUCACUGCGGACGGAAUGAGUUCAAAGCAUGAUGGAUAUUCUAGGCUGGUUUUGAAGGCAGGAUGGUUGAAGUUUUCAGCAUGUCAAUUUGUCACAUUUGAUGUAUCUGACACCUGGUCUUUAAGAGUCUUGGCAGGCAAAGUGUCCCAGGCUGGUGGGCACACUUUGGUAGAGCAGAGACCCAGGAACAGCAUCUUCCUGUCCGUGUGGUGCUGAGCCUUUGAAGUGGCUCACUGGUGCUUCAAAGAGAAGUUCAUGGUACAGGGAGCAGCAUCAGAUAUACUUUUAUGACCCUUAGAGACAAAAAACAUUAUUCAGAAGCCAAACGUCUGGAAGAAAAAUCUAUAUCCUCAGCCCUGCGGCUUGAAAGUUCAGAGAAGACUCAGAGUGCUCCCCGUGAGGAAACCAGAGCGUGUUGGAACAGAGCUGGAAUCAGACCUGGCACCCUCCCUGUGCAGUGGUAUCAACCAUCUUACUGAAGACAGGAACCUCCUUCUGGAUUUCCACUGGAGUUUGGAGGAGUGAGGAGACCUGGAAUCAGAUCAACUUACAGUAAUUCCUCCUGCCUCCUGACUUUUCAGAAAAAAAAGUGAUCAGAACUGCAGAGCAUCCUUAGUACACUUAUUGUUUAUUUGGGAAACUAACAUCUAUUGUGAACUGAAGUCAAUUUGUUCAUCUAUUAUGGGUUUCUUUUUCCCUCUGUGUGAAUAAUGGUCCUGUCUCCUGGGAGACCGUGGAACACUUAGUGACCACAAUGCUAAACAAUGAAGGAAAAUGGAACACCCUCCAGGAAUCUCGGCACUGUGGAGUCCAUGGAGGCCCCGUGAUGCCUUAAUGCCUGUUCUUGACUAGAAGUAACUAAAGGCAGAAUAAACUGCAAAUUAAGAC
ensembl:lncRNA